GCCAGUGUGGUAUAGUGGUUUCAGCAAUAGACUAUGAUUCUGGAGACCAGGGUUCAAAUCCCCACUCAUCCA